CAGGUCUCAAUAAGAUAAAAUGCACCCACAUAUCUCUCGCACCGCUCAUACUUCAUGCUAAGCCUUUUUUGUAUAUUUUAUUUACGUUGUUAAGAAGAAAGCAAUUGUACAAGGUCAAGACAGGAAGAGGAUGUAUGCAGUUGGAAAGAGGACUUCGUGUGAGUCUUCCAGCACAUGAUUCAUCCACAGGAGACGCUUCUUCGUGCCAUGCGUGGAAAUGCGGUUGUGCUUGCCAAUGUGUUGGUGCAAGCAUUAUAUUAAAGCCGAGAACAUUUAAGAAUGUGGGACAAUUUGUAUGUACGGGCCAGUACCUGGCACUACACUGUCUGACAGAAAUAAGUUGUACAAUAGCUCUUAGAAGUUAUGCUAUGUAUGGGUAUGUUUUUUUUGUAUUACGUAAAUCUCUU